AUGCGGAUCGGCGGCCGGAGGGAGAGCCCCCCACGACGAGGACGCGGAUCGGCGGGCGGAGGGAGAGGCUGCCCCGAUGAGGAUGCGGAUCGGUGGCCGGAUGGACAGCUCUUCCCGGCGAGAUUCGCGGCCGCAGGUCAUGCGACUGGUAUUUACUGCCCCACGACGUGCGAGUGGCACUCUUUCAGUUUUCAAGGGGGGGCGGGAGGGGAUUCGCACCCGGCAGUUUCGCUCAUGGACUCGUCUCCAAGCUUCCGCCGGCGAGAAUCGGAGGACAAUGAGCCUUCUCCGAUGAGCUUUGUUGUGCCUGAUAAUGCACCUCCUCUAACGUCUUUCUCGACGCCAUACCAUGGCGUUGGAACUUUGUCUGGCAGCGGCUCAAAUUUUUUGAUUAGCGGCGAGAACUCCACUGUGCGCCAUCCGGCGAUGCACACAUCCACGUUGACGCCGCCGUGUACUGUUGAACCAAGCGAGAUGAUGACUCCAGAUCCCAGCGCAAGAUACAUACAUGGUAACCAAGUCCGCGAAGAUUUUGUCCCAAAGGAAAAUAUGGCUUUCGUCACCGAUGAGGAAGGGUAUGACUUUUAUCAACAAUAUGCAAGAUCAGCAGGUUUUGGUAUUACCAAGCUCAAGCGGAAGCCGAUGUCGCGUCUGUAUGCAUGCUCCCGGGGAGGUGCCAGUACAUUUUACAAGCCUGGGGAGGAACGCAAACGUGCGAAAAUGUCCAAGAAGGUUAACUGUGGGGCAGCUGUUAAAAUCAAGAAAAGGGGGAAAGAAUGGAUAUAUGAGAAAGUGAUGUUGGAGCACAAUCAUACUCUGAAUCCUAAUCCAUCUGAAUUGAAGCACAUGUAUUCACAUAAGAACAAAGAUCCUCUUAUCAUGGAGGUUGUUGAUGAUCUGCAGACCUGUGACGUCUCUCCUAAUACAACAAUGAAUGUGUUGACCCAUUUUCAUGGCAACUAUGAGAUCAUGCCAAUGAAUGAUCGUGACAUGCGAAAUAGAAGAGCAGCCAAUGUACUUAAGAAGCGAGCUGAUGAUGUAAAAAAACUUAGGGCCUUCUUCAAUGAGUUCAGAGCACAUAACAGUAAAUUCUAUUAUGAUGUAGAGGAUGACUCUGAGGGUGUUACGAAGAAUAUAUUCUGGAGUCAUGCUAGCUGCCAAGCAAACUAUGCUGAGUUUGGUGAUGUGGUUACUUUUGAUACAACAUAUAAGUGUAAUUUUUACAAAAUGCCGUUGGCGAUGUUUGUUGGGAGCAACCACCACUUGCAGAAUGUCAUUUUUGGGUUUGCACUCCUCCGUGACGAGACAGGGGAAUCAUUUAAAUGGGCUUUCCAGACUUUCAAAACAUGCAUGGGAGACAAGGAACCUCAUUGCAUACUUACCGAUCAAGAUGUAGCAAUGGAAAACGCUCUUCCGCACAUGUUUCCAAACACGUUGCAUAGGCUAUGCAGAUGGCAUGUAUGGGAAAGGCACAAAGUUGACUUGAAGCCACUGUUUGACUUGCAUGAUGGUUUAAAAGAUAAGCUACUAACAGCAAUAAAUCACCCACUUACCCCUCUAGAGUUUGAGUCUGCAUGGAAGGAUAUGGUGAAUGAAUAUGGCCUUGAGUCAGAUCCUACGAUCAGCAGUUUGUAUGAUCAGCGUGCACGUUGGAUUGCGGCAUACUUCAAAGCUGUUUACUGUGGGAGAAUGACGUCUACGCACCGCAGUGAAAGCAUGAACAGACUUGUGAAAAGACAUCAUGUUAACACUACGACACCUUUGCACGAGUUUGCACGAAAAAUGUACCUAGUCUUGCAAAAGAGAAAAGAAGCAGAAGGCUGA
rnacentral:rRNA from 1 species